rnacentral:rRNA from 1 species
CGAACGAACCCUUCGGGGUUAGUGGCGCACGGGUGCGUAACGCGUGGGAAUCUGCCCUUUGCUUCGGAAUAACAGUUAGAAAUGACUGCUAAUACCGGAUGAUGUCUUCGGACCAAAGAUUUAUCGGCAAAGGAUGAGCCCGCGUAGGAUUAGGUAGUUGGUGGGGUAAAGGCCUACCAAGCCGACGAUCCUUAGCUGGUCUGAGAGGAUGAUCAGCCACACUGGGACUGAGACACGGCCCAGACUCCUACGGGAGGCAGCAGUGGGGAAUAUUGGACAAUGGACGCAAGUCUGAUCCAGCAAUGCCGCGUGAGUGAUGAAGGCCUUAGGGUUGUAAAGCUCUUUUACCAGGGAUGAUAAUGACAGUACCUGGAGAAUAAGCUCCGGCUAACUCCGUGCCAGCAGCCG